UGGGGAAUAUUGGACAAUGGGCGAAAGCCUGAUCCAGCCAUGCCGCGUGUGUGAAGAAGGCCUUUUGGUUGUAAAGCACUUUAAGCGAGGAGGAGGCUACUUAGAUUAAUACUCUAGGAUAGUGGACGUUACUCGCAGCAUAAGCACCGGCUAACUCUGUGCCAGCAGCCGCGGUAAUACAUAGGGUGCGAGCGUUAAUCGGAUUUACUGGGCGUAAAGCGUGCGUAGGCGGCUUUUUAAGUCGGAUGUGAAAUCCCUGAGCUUAACUUAGGAAUUGCAUUCGAGACUGGGAAGCUAGAGUAUGGGAGAGGAUGGUAGAAUUCCAGGUGUAGCGGUGAAAGGCGUAGAGAUCAGGAGGAAUACCGAUGGCGAAGGCAGCCAUCUGGACUAAUACUGACGCUGAGGUACGAAAGCAUGGGGAGCAAACAGG
rnacentral:rRNA from 1 species